rnacentral:rRNA from 1 species
GUAGGGUGCGAGCGUUAAUCGGAAUUACUGGGCGUAAAGCGUGCGCAGGCGGUUUUGUAAGUCAGAUGUGAAAUCCCCGAGCUCAACUUGGGAACUGCGUUUGAAACUACAAGACUAGAAUAGGUCAGAGGGGGGUAGAAUUCCACGUGUAGCAGUGAAAUGCGUAGAGAUGUGGAGGAAUAUCAAUGGCGAAGGCAGCCCCCUGGGAUCAUAUUGACGCUCAUGCACGAAAGCGUGGGGAGCAAACAGGAUUAGAUACCCUGGUAGUCCACGCCCUAAACGAUGUCAACUAGUUGUUGGUAGAGUAAAAUCUAUGAGUAACGCAGCUAACGCGUGAAGUUGACCGCCUGGGGAGUACGAUCGCAAGAUUA